rnacentral:sRNA from 1 species
CCUCCUCGAUCUGCUGCGGGCAGAUGAAGUGGAUAUGCGCGUCGAUGCCGCCAGCGGUCAGGAUGCGACCCUCGCCGGCGAUGAUCUCCGUGCCGGGGCCGAUGACGAUGUCCACGCCGGCCUGGGUGUCGGGGUUCCCGGCCUUGCCGAUGGCCUCGAUGCGCCCGUCCCUCAAGCCGACAUCGGCCUUGACGAUGCCCCAGUGGUCGACGAUCAGCGCAUUGGUGAUGACCGUAUCGAGCGCCCCUUCGCUCCGCGCCAUCUGGCUCUGGCCCAUGCCGUCGCGGAUG